GACGAACGCUGGCGGCGUGCCUAAUACAUGCAAGUCGAACGCACAGUUUAUACCGUAGCUUGCUACACCAUAGACUGUGAGUUGCGAACGGGUGAGUAACGCGUAGGUAACCUGCCUGGUAGCGUGAGAUAACUAGUGCAAACGAUAGCUAAUACCGCAUAAUAUUUAUUGUUGCUUGAUAAUUGAUUGAGAGAUGCUAUUGCAUCACUACCAGAUGGCCCUGCGUUGUAUUAGCUAGUAGGUGAGGUAACGGCUCACCUAGGCGAGGAUACAUAGCCGACCGGAGAGGGUGGUCGGCCACACUGGGAGUGUGACACGGCCCAGAGGGCCAGGGGAGGGAGCAGGAGGGAAACUUCGGGAAGGGGCGAAAGUCUGACCGAGCAAGGCCGCGGGAGGGAAGAAGGAUUUCGGAUGGGAAAGGUCGGUUGUAAGGGAAGAACGGGUGUGAGAGUGGAAAGUUCACACUGUGACGGUAUCUGAUCAGAAAGCGACGGCUAACUACGUG
rnacentral:rRNA from 1 species